UACGGAGGGUGCAAACGUUGCUCGGAAUUAUUGGGCGUAAAGCGCACGUAGGUGGCUUGUUAAGUCGGGUGUGAAAUCCCUGGGCUCAACCCAGGAAGUGCACUCGAAACUGGCGAGCUUGAGUACUGAAGAGGGUCGCGGAAUUCCCGGUGUAGAGGUGAAAUUCGUAGAUAUCGGGAGGAACACCAGUGGCGAAGGCGGCGACCUGGGCAGAUACUGACACUGAGGUGCGAAAGCGUGGGGAGCAAACAGG
rnacentral:rRNA from 1 species